rnacentral:rRNA from 1 species
AGUGAACGCUGGCGGCGUGCUUAACACAUGCAAGUCGAACGAGAACGGAUUAUAGCUUGCUAUAAUUGUCAGCUAAGUGGCGCACGGGUGAGUAAUGUAUAGGUAAUAUGCCUCUUACUAAGGGAUAACAAUUGGAAACGAUUGCUAAUACCUUAUAUUCAUUUUUAUCAAAAGAUAAAAAGGGAAAGAUUUCUUGGUAAGAGAUUAGCCUGUAUUGUAUCAGUUAGUUGGUGGGGUAAUGGCCUACCAAGACGAUGACGCAUAACUGGUUUGAGAGGAUGACCAGUCACACUGGAACUGAGACACGGUCCAGACUCCUACGGGAGGCAGCAGUGGGGAAUAUUGCACAAUGGACGAAAGUCUGAUGCAGCAACGCCGCGUGGAGGAUGACACAUUUCGGUGCGUAAACUCCUUUUAUAUAAGAAGAUAAUGACGGUAUUAUAUGAAUAAGCACCGGCUAACUCCGUGCCAGCCGCCGCGGUAA